UACGUAGGGGGCUAGCGUUGUCCGGAAUCAUUGGGCGUAAAGAGCGCGUAGGCGGCCCGAUAAGUCUGCUGUGAAAGUCCAGGGCUCAACCCUGGAAUGCCAGUGGAUACUGUCGGGCUAGAGUACGGAAGAGGCGAGUGGAAUUCCUGGUGUAGCGGUGGAAUGCGCAGAUAUCAGGAGGAACACCGGUGGCGAAGGCGGAUCUCUGGGCCUUGCCUGACGCUGAGGCGCGAAAGCUAGGGGAGCGAACAGG
rnacentral:rRNA from 1 species